GGCCUACGGGGCGCAGCAGUGGGGAAUAUUGCACAAUGGGGGAAACCCUGAUGCAGCGACGCCGCGUGAAGGAAGAAGUAUUUCGGUAUGUAAACUUCUAUCCGCAGGGAAGAAAAUGACGGUACCUGACUAAGAAGCCCCGGCUAACUACGUGCCAGCAGCCGCGGUAAUACGUAGGGGGCAAGCGUUAUCCGGAUUUACUGGGUGUAAAGGGAGCGUAGACGGCAGUGCAAGUCUGAAGUGAAAGGCAAGGGCUCAACCCUUGGACUGCUUUGGAAACUGUGCUGCUGGAGUGUCGGAGAGGC
rnacentral:rRNA from 1 species